rnacentral:rRNA from 1 species
UACGUAGGGGGGCAAGCGUUGUCCGGAUUUAUUGGGCGUAAAGAGCUCGUAGGCGGUCUGUUACGUCUGCUGUGAAAACCCAGGGCUUAACCCUGGGCUUGCAGUGGAUACGGGCAGACUAGAGGCAGGUAGGGGUAGAAUGGAAUUCCCGGUGUGAGCGGUGAAAUGCGCAGAUAUCAGGAGGAACACCAAUGGCGAAGGCAGCUCGCUGGGACGUGACUGACGCUGAGACGCGAAAGCGUGGGGAGCAAACAGG